rnacentral:lncRNA from 1 species
GGUAUUCAAUUAAGACAAACAUGAUUUUUUUUUCAGGGCAAUAAAAUCCGUUGGUAUUCAAUUGAGAUUUGGUACUACUUUUAAAAUGUCUACUGGUAUUCAAAAAUCUACCGAUUUUGAUGGAUUCUUCUAUGGAAUGGAUUUUGAGAGACUUUUUAGUUGAAAAUACACUUGAUAGACUUUUUCAACAAUCUCACCAAAAGUCUUGAGACUUUUUUGAAAUCUCCAAGACUUUUUAUUUUCAUCAUCACUGUAUCAA